rnacentral:rRNA from 1 species
GUACGGAGGUGCGAGCGUUAUCCGGAUUUACUGGGUUUAAAGGGUGUGUAGGCGGGCUGGUAAGUCAGGGGUGAAAUCCCGGAGCUCAACUCCGGAACUGCCUUUGAUACUACUGGUCUUGAAUAUUGUUGAGGUGGGCGGAAUGUGUCAUGUAGCGGUGAAAUGCAUAGAUAUGACACAGAACACCGAUUGCGAAGGCAGCUCACUGGGCAAUGAUUGACGCUGAGGCACGAAAGCGUGGGGAUCAAACAGG